rnacentral:rRNA from 1 species
AUUGAACGCUGGCGGCAGGCCUAACACAUGCAAGUCGAACGGUAACAGGAAACAGCUUGCUGUUUCGCUGACGAGUGGCGGACGGGUGAGUAAUGUCUGGGAAACUGCCUGAUGGAGGGGGAUAACUACUGGAAACGGUAGCUAAUACCGCAUAACGUCGCAAGACCAAAGAGGGGGACCCUCGGGCCUCUUGCCAUCGGAUGUGCCCAGAUUGGAUUAGCUUGUUGGUGGGGUAACGGCUCACCAAGGCGACGAUCCCUAGCUGGUCUGAGAGGAUGACCAGCCACACUGGAACUGAGACACGGUCCAGACUCCUACGGGAGGCAGCAGUGGGGAAUAUUGCACAAUGGGCGCAAGCCUGAUGCAGCCAUGCCGCGUGUAUGAAGAAGGCCUUCGGGUUGUAAAGUACUUUCAGCGGGGAGGAAGGGAGUAAAGUUAAUACCUUUGCUCAUUGACGUUACCCGCAGAAGAAGCACCGGCUAACUCCGUG